GCCGGGCUAGCUCAAUCGGUAGAGCGUGUGACUCUUAUUAUGAUUGUAAUUCUGCAAUCACAAGGUUGCGGGUUCGACCCCCGCGUUCGGCU